rnacentral:tRNA from 1 species
GGGUGAUUAGCUCAGUUGGUUAGAGCAUCUCGUUUACACCGAGAGGGUCAGGGGUUCGAAUCCCUUACCACCCA